GAUCAUGGCUCAGGAUGAACGCUGGCGGCGCGCCUAACACAUGCAAGUCGAACGGCACCCCUCUCCGGAGGGAAGCGAGUGGCGAACGGCUGAGUAACACGUAGAGAACCUGCCCCCCUCCCCCCGGGAUAGCCGCCCGAAAGGACGGGUAAUACCGGAUACCCCGGGGUGCCGCAUGGCACCCCGGCUAAAGCCCCGACGGGAGGGGAUGGCUCCGCGGCCCAUCAGGUAGACGGCGGGGUGACGGCCCACCGUGCCGACAACGGGUAGCGGGGUUGAG
rnacentral:rRNA from 1 species